rnacentral:rRNA from 1 species
GAUGAACGCUGGCGGCGUGCCUAAUACAUGCAAGUUGUGCGGUAACAGAGAGAGCUUGCUCUCUGCUGACGAGCGGCGGACGGGCAGAGUAACGCGUAGGAACAUACCCCAAACUGAGGGAUAACUGCUCGAAAGAGUAGCUAAUACCGCAUGUGGUUCUUCGGAUUAAAGCUUCGGCGGUUUGGGAGUGGCCUGCGUCCGAUUAGCUAGUUGGUGAGGUAAUUGCUCACCAAGGCGACGAUCGGUAGCUGGUCUGAGAGGAUGAUCAGCCUGACUGGAACUGAGAACGGUCCAGACUCCUACGGGAGGCAGCAGUAGGGAAUUUUCCACAAUGGGCGAAAGCCUGAUGGAGCAACGCCGCGUGCAGGAUGAAUGCCUUCGGUUGUAAACUGUCUUUCUGUGUGAAGAUAU